rnacentral:rRNA from 1 species
GAUGAACGCUAGCGAUAGGCUUAACACAUGCAAGUCGAGGGGCAUCACAUGAGUAGCAAUACGAUGGUGGCGACCGGCGCACGGGUGAGUAACACGUAUGCAACCUACCCAUGACAGAGGGAUAACCCGGAGAAAUUCGGACUAAUAUCCCGUAAUAAUAUCCGGAGGCAUCUUUGGAUAUUUAAAGUUCCGACGGUACGGGAUGGGCAUGCGUAACAUUAGCUGGUUGGUAAGGUAACGGCUUACCAAGGCUAUGAUGUUUAGGGGUCCUGAGAGGGUGGUCCCCCACACUGGUACUGAGACACGGACCAGACUCCUACGGGAGGCAGCAGUGAGGAAUAUUGGUCAAUGGGCGCAAGCCUGAACCAGCCAUCCCGCGUGCAGGAAGACGGCCCUAUGGGUUGUAAACUGCUUUUCCAGGGAGAGAAACUUACGCACGUGUUGCGUGACUGACGGUACCCUGGGAAUAAGCAUCGGCUAACUCCGUGCCAGCAGCCGCGGUAAAACG